AACGAACGCUGGCGGCGCGCCUAACACAUGCAAGUCGAACGAGAAGGCGUAGCAAUAUGCUUGUAGAGUGGCGAACGGGUGAGUAAUACGUGGGUGACCUACCCUCGAGUGGGGAAUAACCCGCCGAAAGGCGGGCUAAUGCCGCGUACGCUUCCGUCCUCACGGGGACGGAAGGAAAGCUGUACCGUGGGUACGGCGCUCAAGGAUGGGCUCACGUCCUAUCAGCUUGUUGGUAGGGUAACGGCCUACCAAGGCUACGACGGGUAGCUGGUCUGAGAGGACGAUCAGCCACACUGGCACUGCGACACGGGCCAGACUCCUACGGGAGGCAGCAGUGAGGAAUAUUGCGCAAUGGGCGAAAGCCUGACGCAGCGACGCCGC
rnacentral:rRNA from 1 species